ensembl:lncRNA
AGGCCCCACACUGAGCACCUUCUCUCUCUCCACCUGCUCCUCUGACCUACUCCACUCUCAACCCACCAGAACCAUGGGCUGCUGUGGCUGUUCCGGAGGCUGCGGCUCCAGCUGUGGGGGCUGCAGCUCCAGCUGUGGAGGCUGCGGCUCCAGCUGUGGGGGCUGUGGCUCCAGCUGUGGGGGCUGUGGCUCCAGCUGUGGGGGCUGUGGCUCCAGCUGCUGUGUGCCCAUCUGCUGCUGCAAGCCCUGUGUGCUGCUGUGUGCCAGUCUGCUCCUGCUCCAGCUGUGGCAAAGGGGGCUGUGGCUCCAGCUGUGGGGGCUCCAAGGGGGGCUGUGGGUCCUGUGGGGGGUCUAAGGGGGGCUGUGGCUCCUGUGGGGGCUCCAAGGGGGGCUGUGGCUCCUGUGGCUGCUCCCAGUCCAGCUGCUGCAUCCCUGUUUGCUGCUCCCAGUCCAGCUGCUGCAAACCCUGCUGCUCCCAGUCCAGCUGCUGCAUCCCUGUUUGCUGCUCCCAGUCCAACUGCUGCAAACCCUGCUGCUCCCAGUCCAGCUGCUGUGUCCCCGUUUGCUGCCAGUGCAAGAUCUGAGGCUCUGACUGAAGACUUCAGGUGGCUCCUAAGGGUGUGGGCUUCCCAUCGAGUGCCUGUAGACAUGUCCUGGACCAUCCCCAAGCAGUUCCUAUCCAGGUGAUGGACAGCUAGAGUCUCCUGGCUCCAGACUCCUCCCCAGCACCUGAGGGAAAGGCAUGAAGUUCGCCCACACACAUUCCCUGAGAGGGGGUCCCGUGCCCCAGACACUUUUGCGCCUUCUACCCACACACCCUAAUGCCUGAGCCAGACUCGCCCUGAAAAUGGUUCACAGGUCAGGGAGGUGGCCGAAAUUUCCAUUUCUAAUUAUUCCAUGCAAGGCACCAAAGCUUUGUCUUUCUCUGUUUGCCAGGAGCUUUAUCAUUCCCAUAAGUGUGUCUCCAAUAACCCACCUGAUUAAAACAAGUGCAUUAAGACCCACAAUGGGUCUGGGUGCACCAAUAAAUAAAUCCUCCACCCACAGAGCUUGGUCUCACUGUGGUUUUCCUUCCAGCCUGUCUUGGCAGUGACAUCGAUCGUGUUUCCCGCUCCUGCUGCCUAAUCGAUCACGGCUCCCCGGGCCCUUCACUGCUGUCACCGCAGGGCCGGGCUCAGCAGUCAUUCCACAGACAUUAGAGACCAGUGUCGGCCUGGCUCAGCAUGCAGCAAGGAGCUCUCUCCCCACCGCCGGGCUCAGAGUCAGCGAGAACCAGCCACUCUUGGAUCUCAACAGGGGUGGGGCUGGAGGAGGAACGGAAGGGGACCCGAUGAAGGUCACCUGCCGAAAACCCCCAGCUGACAUCACACCAUGCUGUGGGAGCUCGGACACCUUCCGGAAGAUCAGGAGCAAGCAAAGGGCAUCCCCGCGCCCCAUGUCUGCUCAGCAUCACUCUGACGUCCUAGCCAGGGAGACACGGGUUCGAUCCCUGGUCUGGGAAGACCCCACGUGCCUCGGAGCAACCGAGCCCGUGCACCACGACUACAGAAGCCCAAGCACCCAAGAGCCUGUGCUCCGCAACGAGAGGCCACUGCGAUGAGAAGCCCACGCACUGCAACCCGAGAGAGCCCACCCGCAGCAGAAGGCCCGACACUGCCAAAAAAAAAUAAACAAUAAAAUUUUAAGAAUAAAUAACGAAAGAAAUUACAGUCAUCCACGCUGGGAAGGAAAAGGCGAAACAGCCUCUAUUCAUAGAAGACAAUACCUUGUGUAUGGAGAAGCCUAAGGACUACACACACACACACGAUUAUUAGAGCUAAGAAAUGAAUUCAGCAGGCCACAGGAGACAACAUCAAGCACACAGAAAUCAACUAUAUUUCUGUAUACCAGCAAUGAGCCAUCAGAAUUUAAAUUAAGAAGACAAUAUCAUGGAAAAUAACAAAAUAACUUAAUAAACUUAACAAUUGAAGUGCAAAACUGCAAAACACCAUUGAAAGAAGUUAAAGAAGGCCAAAAUAAAUGGAAAGCUAUCCAGCGGUCCUGUAUCAGGAGACGUAAUAUUGUUAGAAUGACAGUAUUCCAAAACUCUGCAGAUUUAACAUAAUCCCUUUCAAAAUCCCACAUUGCUUUUUGCAGAAAGUGACAAGCUGACCCUAAAGUGCAUAUGGAAAUUCAAGGAUGUGCAGAUAGUCAAAGCAAUCUUGAAAAAGAAAAUCUAACUUGGAGGACUCACGUUUCCCAAUUUCCAAUGUAUUACAGGGUUGCAGUAGGACUUCUCUGGUGGUACGGUGGAUAGGAACCCACCUGCCAGUGCAGGAAACCCGGCUCUGAUCCCUGGUGCUGGAAGAGCCCACGUGCCUCGGGGCAACUCAGCCCGUGCACCACAGGUGCUGAGCCCGCCUGUGGCAACUACGAAGCCCACGCGCCUAGAGUCUGUGCUGCAAAGAGAGGCCCGAGCACCGCAAGGAGCUGCUGCGACUAGAGAGACCAAGUGCCGACCAAAGACGCAGCCCAGAGAAAAAUAAUAAAAUAAAUAGAUUAUGCAUCACAAGCUACAGUAAUAAAGCUGUGUGAAGCUGCAUAAGGGUAGACACAGAUCAGUGGAACAGAACUGAGUCUAGAGACAAAUCCUCCAAAUUACGGGCAACUGAUUUUCAACAACGGCGCACAAUCAUUCAGCGCAAAGUCUUUUCAGUGAACACGGCUGAGACAAGUAGUGACCACACGCAAAAGAAUACAGUUGAACCUUUAUCUCAAAUCACAUGUACAAAAAAAAACCAGCCUUGAAAUGGAUCCAUGAGCUAAUCAUAAAAGCCAAAACUAGAAACUAUAAAACUCUUAGAAGAGAAGAUAGAGUAAGUCUUUGUGAUCGUAUAUUAGACAAUGAAUAUUAGAUAUGACAGCAAAGUGAAAGUGAAAGUCGCUCAGUCAUGCCCGACUCUUUGCGACUCCAUGGACUGCAUAGUCCAUGGAAUUCUCCAGGCCACAAUACUGGAGUGGGCAGCCUUUCCCUUCUCCAGGGGAGCUUCCCAACCCAGGGAUGGAACCCAGGUCUCCUGUAUUGCAGGUGGAUUCUCUACCAGCUGAGUCACAAGGGAAGCCCAAGAAUACUGGAGUGGGUAGCCUAUCCCUUCUCCAGCACAUCUUCCCGACCCAGGAAUCGAACCAGGGUCUCCUGCAUUGCAGGCGGAUUCUUUACCAACUGAGCUACCAGGGGAGCUUUUGACAGCAAAAGCAUAAGCAAAAAAAAGAAAAAUUAUAUAAAUCAGAUGCAUCAAAAUAAAAAGAUUUUGAGCUUCAAAGGACACAAAUCAAAAAGUAAAAAGACAAUGUAGAGGUAAAAUAUUUGCCAAUCAGAUAUUUGACAACUGCCUUACAUUCAGAAUAUAGAAAGAACUCUCACUCCCCCAAAAAGGAAGAUAAAUAACUCGAUUAAAAACUUGGCAAAGGGUCUGAAUAGAUGUUUCUCCAAAGAAGAUACACAGAUGGCUAAUAAGCACAUGAAAAGAUGCUCAACAUCAUCGGUCAUCAGGAAGACACAAACCAAAACCACAGUCCGAUAUCACCCACGGGGUGGGUGUCAUCAGAGAGACAAGCGGCAACAAGUGCCGGUGAGCACUGGCGACGCUGAGCCCUGCGCACGGCUGACUGAAGUAGUAAACGGUGCGACUGCUCCGAAAACCAGUUUGGCGGUUCACCAAAUGUUAAAUACAGAAUUACCACAUGCUCCAGAAAUGCCAUCGCUAGGUACAUGCCCAAGAGAGUGGAAAACACGUCACACAAAAAUCUAUGCAAUAACGCUCAUGGCAGCAUUAUUCAUAAUGGCCAAAAAACGGAAACAAGCAAAUGUCCAUCAGCUGGUUAAUGGAUAAACAAAAUGUGGUCCACCCGCACAGUGGCGUGCCCCUGAACAGGAAUGCAGUUCUGACACGUGGUACAAGCGAAAUAAACUUUGAAAGCACCGUGCUAAGUGAAAGGCCACAUGUUAUGCGACCACAUUCACACGCGGCGUCCAGAACAGGCGACUCCACAGAGGCAAAGGGCAGAUGAGUAUAUACCAUGGGCUGGUUUGAAAGAGGGCGAUGGAGCCUCCCCAUUAAACGUACAUGGAAUUUCUUUCUGAGAUGAUGAAACUGUCCUGGAAUUAAGUGGUAGUGAUGAUCGUGUGACUUAGUGAGUCUACUAAAAAGUCACUGAAUUAUACACUCUAAAGGGCAAAUUUGAUGGUAUAUGAAUUGUACCUCAAUUUUAAAUUUCAUGUAAUAUGCUUUGCUGUCGUUCAGUCGCUCAGUCGUGUCCGACUCGGCGACCCCGUGGACUGCAGCAUGCCAGGCCUCCCUGUCCUUCACCAUCUCUCGGAGUUUGCUCAAACUCAUGCCAUUGAGCCGGCGAUGCUAUCUAACCAUCUCACCCUCUGUAUGUGUUUAAGCACUUCCCAAUAUUAAAGAAUCUUACCAAAUCACCGUGUGAUUUCCACUGAAUAUGUGUAUUUUUUAG